rfam:Lactobacillus thailandensis DSM 22698 = JCM 13996 strain DSM 22698 Scaffold3, whole genome shotgun sequence.
GGGCGGUUAGCUCAGCUGGCAGAGCACCGGACUCUUAAUCCGGGUGUCCAGGGUUCGAUCCCCUGACCGCCCA